rnacentral:lncRNA from 1 species
UAAGGACCGAAAUAUCAGCGACUGAGUUUCCCCUUCUUGAAAAAAUGCUUCACUCUUUUUAUAGGAGAGAUCUACAAGUACACAUAGUCACCAAUCUCAAACUUGAGAUCCUUUCUGCGCACAUCUGCAUACGAUUUCUUUCAGCUCUGAGUUGUCAUAAGCCUUUCACUGAUCAACUGGACCUUUUCUAAGGUAUCAAACACCAAGUCAGGCCCUACUACUGCAGCCUCACCC